UGCGGGGUAGAGCAACUGGAAGCUCGGCGGUCUCAUAAGCCGCAGGUUGUGGGUUCAAGUCCCACCCCCGCUACCA
rnacentral:tRNA from 1 species